rnacentral:rRNA from 1 species
UGAGGGCUCUGGGUCCACCUCCCACCCGUGUUUAUUUUACCUUGUUGCUUCGGCGGGCCCGCCUUAACUGGCCGCCGGGGGGCUUACGCCCCCGGGCCCGCGCCCGCCGAAGACACCCUCGAACUCUGUCUGAAGAUUGAAGUCUGAGUGAAAAUAUAAAUUAUUUAAAACUUUCAACAACGGAUCUCUUGGUUCCGGCAUCGAUGAAGAACGCAGCGAAAUGCGAUACGUAAUGUGAAUUGCAAAUUCAGUGAAUCAUCGAGUCUUUGAACGCACAUUGCGCCCCCUGGUAUUCCGGGGGGCAUGCCUGUCCGAGCGUCAUUGCUGCCCUCAAGCCCGGCUUGUGUGUUGGGCCCCGUCCCCCGAUCUCCGGGGGACGGGCCCGAAAGGCAGCGGCGGCACCGCGUCCGGUCCUCGAGCGUAUGGGGCUUUGUCACCCGCUCUGUAGGCCCGGCCGGCGCUUGCCGAUCAACCCAAAUUUUUAUCCAGGUUGACCUCGGAUCAGGUAGGGAUACCCGCUGAACUUAAGCAUAUCAAUAAGCGGAGGGAAAAGAAA